rnacentral:tRNA from 2 species
GUACUAGUAGUUCAGGGCCUAGAACGCCGGUCUUGUAAACCGGAUGACGGAGGUUAAAAUCCCCCCUAGUACU